rnacentral:lncRNA from 1 species
CGUCUCACACUCGCCUUCAUCGGGCUCGACUCCUGGAUCAUAUCAUCCCCUCCCUCUUCAAAAGGAUUCGUCCUCGAAUCUGAACCUGCAUCAAACAGAGAGAGAUCAGAUACAUUAAAAGUAGCCGAAACAUUGUACUCACCUGGAAGGUCCAACUUGUAAGCAUUGUCGUUUAUCUUUUCAAUCACUUGAAAUGGACCAUCGCCCCUUGG